UGGGUUUACGUAAGGGUGGAGUUGAUCAAACGACGGAGAAUGCUUUUGAUGCAUCUUUUUACCUCCGUAAUAUGCUGUGAUGUUUUCUAGCUUGUUUAGAGGGCUGGUUAGGACAACUUUUUUUUUUUUUUUUUUGGAAUUUUUAUUUGGAAGACUUGGUAAUUCUUAAAUGAAAUGUUUUCUUUGACAUUAUUCGCGUCUCAAUGUCGACAUUUUGUGUACUAUUUUCUACUUUUGAGGAAGCAACCCAUGAAAGAUUCAUGUCAAAGGCUAAGGCAACUAAAAAAGUAUAAUCCAUAUUUAACGGAAACAAAAGCAGUGAAAACAUGUCAAAUACAAGUAUGCAAAUAAUAGUGUAACACAUCAAAAGACGGAGAAUGCUUUGAUGCAUCUUUUUAGGAAAAUGCUUUGAUGCUUUGGAUUGCAGCACAUACUAAGAAGGGUGGUGGACCAUCCAAUUUGCUUGCUGCAGAGACUAUUGAAAGAAAAAAUUAUGCAACAUGAAAAUGGAUCAUCAUCUAUCUGGUUUUCGAAGUGACGCUCCUUCCAAAGUUUUUGGUGCUGAGCAAAAUGGUCGUGCAAGAGGAGUUGGAGGUGGCGUUCCUCCUACAAAGCUUGAAGUAUUUUCACAACAGAAAUGGUGUAAUCACCAAAGGGAUGAAAAGGUGCACAAUUUGACUAAUAGGUCUGAGCAUUGACGGAAUUGGUGCAUCUUUUUAUGAAAAAUAAGAUUGAGACAUUAGAAUUUGGAUUGAAGCCAAUGAAUUGCCAGGGCAUUGUUUGCUGUUGCAGGAUAGGGAUCGUUCUGUGGGAAAGGUAGUAUCUAUACGAGCAUGAUUGCCUUUCGCAAAUGUUAUAUUAAAAGCAUUCUUUCUAAUUUUUACCCUUUUUGGAUUUCUUAGUUUGAGGUGAAAAUGGAAUUUGGAGAAAAAAUGAAUCUCAUUUUGGGUUAAC